GAGAAAUUAUUAUUUUAAAUUAAAGUUUUUAUAGAUUUUAAGAAGAAUAUAUUAGAUUUAAUUAUAAUAUUAGAAUAAAUAAUUAUUUGAUAGUGAAUAUGUAUUGUGAAAGAAUUAUUUUAUCAUUUAAAAAGAAAAUUUGAUUUGUUGUACCUUGUGUAUCAGGAUUUAUUAAAAUGAUAAAUUAUUUUAUUUUCCCGAAUUUUGAAGAGUUAGUUAGUUAAUAUUUUAUUGUGGUAAAAAUAUUUAAAAUAGUUGGCUGGAUGUGAAAUGUAAUUCGUUUUGAAAUAUAUCUGGUUUUUAAAGAAUUGAAUUUAAUUCAGGAGUUAAUUUAUUAUUGUUAUUAUUUUUAUUAGAUUAAUAUUUAUUUCUAAAAUUAAAAGGGAUAAUCUUUUUAAUUUAGAAUUAAAAGAAAGAUUAUUUAUUUUGUGAAAUUGAGUUAGAGUUGCUUAUUUUUAAAAGUUUAUAAUAAUUUAUCUUUUUAUUAUUAAUAUUUUUUUUUUUUUAAGUUUUUUAUUUAAAUAAAAGUUUAAUUUAUAAAUAUUUUGGAAUAAUGAUAAAAUUAUUAUAAUUUUAUGUAUUUGUUUUAACUAUUUAAAGUUAAAAAGAAGGAAUUUGGCAAAAAUUUUUUCACCUGUUUAUUAAAAACAUGUCUUCUUGAUAAAUAAUUUGAAGUCAGACCUGCCCAAUGAAAAAUUUAAUGGCCGCAGUAUUUUGACUGUGCAAAGGUAGCGUAAUCAUUAGUUUUUUAAUUGAAAACUAGAAUGAAGGGUUUCAUGAAAAAGGUUCUGUCUCUUUUUUAAUUUUUUAAAAAUUUAUUUUUAAGUGAAAAAGCUUAAAUUUUUUAAGAAGACGAGAAGACCCUGUAGAGUUUAAUAUAUGAAAUAUAUAAAGUUUUAGAUUAUUUUAGUUUAUUUAUUAAUUUAUUUUAUUGGGGUGAUUUAAAAAUUAAAAUAACUUUUUAUUUAUUUUUUUUCAUUAAUUAUUGUAUAAAUGAUCCUAAUUUUUGGAUUGAAAGAUUAAAUUACCUUAGGGAUAACAGCGUUAUUUUUCUUGAGAGUUCUUAUUGAAAGAAGAGUUUGCGACCUCGAUGUUGAAUUAAAAUUAAUUUUUGGUGUAGAAGCUAAAAAGAUUAAGUCUGUUCGACUUUUAAAUUUUUACAUGAUUUGAGUUUAAACCGGCGUGAGCCAGGUUGGUUUCUAUCUUUUAAAAAGUGAAUAUUUUAGUACGAAAGGACCAGAUAUUUAAAUUAAAUUUUAAAUUUUUAAU
rnacentral:rRNA from 1 species